CUCUUAUCAAGAGAGGUGGAGGGAUGUGCCCUAUGAAGCCCGGCAACCGUCGAUUUGCUUUUUGCAAUUGAAAUGGUGCCAAUUCACACAAAGCAAGCUGCUUUGGAAGAUGAGAG
rnacentral:ncRNA from 2 species